GACACAUUUCAGACUUAGGACUUGGUUAAUACACAUUUUAGAUGCGAAGGUUCCAGACUUUUCCAUAUUCAGUCUUUCCAGAUUCCCCAAACCUUCUGGUUCAUCUUACAAUGUAAAACACUGGAAAGGCUUUAAAUACGGAAGCUGUGAAUAGCAGAAACUGGAGGUGAGUAAUUACCUCCAGUCAGCAAGGAUAAAAAAAGCAAAACUGACAGACGUAUGUUAGGAAAGAAGGACACAAUGAAGGCAGGACAAAACAUGUUAGGCAUUCGGACAGUCUGGAAAUACAAAAAAUAUUUCCAUGUGAUUUUAUUUUCAUACUGAGCUAGAACUGGAAAAUAUAAAGAUCUAAAUCCAAAUGUUCCUAAACUGCAUUUGAUGAUAAAACGAAUCCUCAUCACCAUCCUUAGGUGUUUUAUUCGUGCUUACAUUUUAAUCCUUUCUCUGUUGUUCAUUUUUGUUCCAUAUGUCUUAAAAUGUUUUAUUUCUCUGUGGUCAAAGAUGUUGCCAUAUAAGUUAAUUUUCUUUGUGUUGAGUUUCUUAGUUAAUUUUUUGUUAAUGUUCAGUUGAUUUACACUCAUGUUAAAAUCACACAGAAUAUAGUCGACUUCUGAAGGCAACUGAUUGCACUGAAUUUCAUUUGUGUGUAUCGGGAUAAAGGGGGAACAAAUGAAAUUUUUUUUUUCAUUUGUAAAGUUGAAAAUUAUGCAGCAGUGUUUCUUCCACUUAACUAUGCACCACUUUGAGUUGGUCUAUUAAUUAAAAUUCCCAUAGAAUACUUAAGCUUGUGGUUUUAAUGUGGUAAGAAGUGAAAAGCUUCAUGGGGUAUGAAUACUUUUGCCAGGCACCGCAUCUGAAACUUACUGCCUUAAUUCACAAAGAAGUGAAUCCUUUUACUUUUACAUCUUGUUUGUGGCUUCAAUACCACCAGUCAUUUACAGGAACAGUGCCACAAAAUAUCCUUGCGCAAUCCCUCCCUCCACUCCUGCUAGCUUUACGACGGAGGAAACCAAACCAACGCCAGUACUGAGACACAAACCGUUCAACAAAUGAGAGC